AACAUAUAGUUUAAACAAGACAAAUACUCUGUGUAUCGAUCAUUUAAUAACAAGACACCCUGAAGUGUUACUCGGAAUUAUUUGAGAGACUUUAAAUAUUCAAAAUGGUUUUGAAAAUUCUGAUUUUUUGACGUGUAGUUUAGAUAUUAAACUCGGAGAGUUAUCAAACAAUUUCAAGAUUUGCUACUUACAACUCCGAAUUGCUAGCUGGUAUUCUAUGCCGUGAGGUCUGCGGAAGUGCAAUUGAUGUUUUGGUGUUUGAUGGAAAAAGAUCACACCCUGUUUGUAGAUAAGUUCAUUUAGGAUAUAAUGGAAAGCUGGAAUGAGAAACUUCUUACAGCCUCUAAGACUGGAAAUGUAAAAGAUGUGAAAAUUUGCCUAGAGAAUAAAGCAGGCAUUAAUUAU